AGCAACUUGCCUAUUAGAGGGGAAUAACAGCGAGAAAUCGUUGCUAAUACCGCAUACUCUGGUUUUAUUGCAUGAUAAAAUCAGGAAAGGAGUAAUCCGCUAAUAGAUGGGCUUGCGUCUGAUUAGUUAGUUGGUGGGGUAAAGGCCUACCAAGACUACGAUCAGUAGCCGGACUGAGAGGUUGAACGGCCACAUUGGGACUGAGAUACGGCCCAGACUCCUACGGGAGGCAGCAGUCGGGAAUAUUGCGCAAUGGAGGAAACUCUGACGCAGUGACGCCGCGUAUAGGAAGAAGGUUUUCGGAUUGUAAACUAUUGUCGUUAGGGAAGAAAAAAGACAGUACCUAAGGAGGAAGCUCCGGCUAACUACGUGCCAGCAGCCGCGGUAAUACGUAGGGAGCAAGCGUUAUCCGGAUUUAUUGGGUGUAAAGGGUGCGUAGACGGGAAUUUAAGUUAGUUGUGAAAUCCCUCGGCUUAACUGAGGAACUGCAACUAAAACUGAAUUUCUUGAGUGCAGGAGAGGUAAGUGGAAUUCCUAGUGUAGCGGUGAAAUGCGUAGAUAUUAGGAGGAACACCAGUGGCGAAGGCGGCUUACUGGACUGCAACUGACGUUGAGGCACGAAAGUGUGGGGAUCAAACAGGAUUAGAUACCCUGGUAGUCCACGCCGUAAACGAUGAUUACUGGUUGUAUGCGAUAUAUCGUAUGUGACUAAGCGAAAGCGAUAAGUAAUCCACCUGGGGAGUACGCCGGCAACGGUGAAACUCAAAGGAAUUGACGGGGGCCCGCACAAGCGGAGGAGCAUGUGGUUUAAUUCGAUGAUACGCGAGGAACCUUACCCGGGCUUGAAUUGCAGUGGAAUAAUCUGGAAACAGGUUAGUCUUCGGACCACUGUGAAGGUGCUGCAUGGUUGUCGUCAGCUCGUGCCGUGAGGUGUUAGGUUAAGUCCUGCAACGAGCGCAACCCUUACAUUUAGUUGCCAGCAUGUUAAGAUGGGGACUCUAAAUGAACUGCCUACGCAAGUAGAGAGGAAGGUGGGGAUGACGUCAAAUCAGCACGGCCCUUAUGUUCGGGGCUACACACGUGCUACAAUGGUCGGUACAGAGGGCAGCUACCCUGCGAGGGGAUGCGAAUCUCAAAAGCCGAUCUCAGUUCGGAUCGGAGUCUGUAACUCGACUCCGUGAAGUUGGAUUCGCUAGUAAUCGCGCAUCAGCCAUGGCGCGGUGAAUACGUUCCCGGGCCUUGUACACACCGCCCGUCAAGCCAUGGAAGCCUGUGGUACCUAAAGUCCGUGCCCGCAAGGAGCGGCCUAGGGUAAAACCGGUAACUGGGGCUAAGUCGUAACAAGGUAAC
rnacentral:rRNA from 1 species